GACGUAGGGCGCAAGCGUUGUCCGGAUUUAUUGGGCGUAAAGGGCUCGUAGGCGGUUUGUCGCGUCGGGAGUGAAAUCCACUGGCUUAACUGGUGGCUUGCUUUCGAUACGGGCAGACUGGAGGUAUGCAGGGGAGAACGGAAUUCCUGGUGUAGCGGUGAAAUGCGCAGAUAUCAGGAGGAACACCGGUGGCGAAGGCGGUUCUCUGGGCCUUACCUGACGCUGAGGAGCGAAAGCGUGGGGAGCGAACAGG
rnacentral:rRNA from 1 species